GUAUAACAAAAUUCUUUCUCUGCUGAAAGGAUAAAGGCAGAGUUGUUUUCAGGCUCUGCUCGUCUGGCACCACCAGUCUGAGAGCCUGGCCAGCCUUCUGCCAAUGACCCCAAGACUUGAAGGAGCUCAAAGAGAAGGACCCAAAAGGAGAACAGAAAUCUGCUAUUCUUGACAUCUCUGUCAGCAAGCAGCAGGGGCACAUGGCUGUUUCUCACCAGGAUGUGGAGGAGAAGGCAAAUAGUUUGGGCAUGAUAAAACGAUGAGAUCGCAAAGCUGCUCAGCAGCUCCUGAGGAGAGCCAUGUGGCUGAUGAAAGACCUUAUCCUUUCCAGAUUUUGCCUCAGAGCAUUCACAGGAAUAAGAAUGUUUCAUCCCUCCCCCAAGAAAUGAUGCUGGUUGCCUGAAGAGCCCACUGGUUAUGAAUUCCAAGUUUGGCAGAGGUCAGAAGUUGUCUCUGAAUAUCCUCUUUCCACCAUUGAAGGAGGAAAGAGAAGCGAUAGAGGCUUUGGAGGGUGCCUGACAUCCAGACAGGUCAAAUCCACCACUGUACAUGAAGUUACUGACCUCAAGAUGUGCCUCUGGAGCUUUGUAAAGCAGAAGCAGAAACAUUGCUGGGGAUGAUGCCCUAAAUUCCAGAGUUCAGCACCGCUGCUGUGAGCAAAUAAAACCUGUGGUAAAUUCACUGCAAAAAUGUUUCUAAACUCCUGGCAAGCCUUAUGGCAAAAAAGGAUUUUUAACACUGAAAUGCAGAGCUUAAGGAAACAGCUGUUGUCUCUGAAGACAGAGGCUGACAAAUGGAUUGGUGAGACACAGAGUUAUCUUCCAUUUGGCUUCAAGGGUUUUCAGUGGGAGACACUUGACCAUUUACUCUCUAUUCCCUACACAUAAAAGGAGUACCAGAAAUGCUCAGAGCAGAGAACUGGAAUUUCUGGGACAGCAGGACAUGAACUGGACCAUGCUUGGUGCUUCCAGGCCAGAAGCAUCGAUAAACACCAGUGUGCCCUAAUCCUCGGGCUGUGGUCCCAGGCAGGAGAAGCAGAACAGGCUGCGCAGCGCCCGCAGCGCCUGUGGUGUCCCGGCCUGUGUCACCUGCUCCUGGAAGGCACGAGAGGCCUUGUGUCCUUUGGGGGCUUCCACCUGGGAACAUGCGGCACGGAGAGUUCCUCCAAGGCACGGCCCAGAUGCCCUGAGCUCAACCCAAGCCUCACGAGGGACAUGCAUGUAGAACCCAGCUCCCGCCAGACCUGCUGCUCUUUGCUCUCCGUCUUUGUCUUCGCGCAGCUCCAGGAUGCUGAUCUCAUCCCACUCGUCAUCUUCUUGCAGCAAGGGCUUGGCCCCGAUGCUCGGCUCCCAGCUGUCCUGCAUGAGGUCUCGGACACUGUCACUAGCCCAGCU
rnacentral:lncRNA from 1 species